UGGGGAAUAUUGCACAAUGGGCGAAAGCCUGAUGCAGCGACGCCGCGUGAGGGAUGACGGCCUUCGGGUUGUAAACCUCUUUCAGCAGGGACGAAGCGCAAGUGACGGUACCUGCAGAAGAAGCACCGGCUAACUACGUGCCAGCAGCCGCGGUAAUACGUAGGGUGCAAGCGUUGUCCGGAAUUACUGGGCGUAAAGAGUUCGUAGGCGGUUUGUCGCGUCGUUUGUGAAAACCAGCAGCUCAACUGCUGGCUUGCAGGCGAUACGGGCAGACUUGAGUACUGCAGGGGAGACUGGAAUUCCUGGUGUAGCGGUGAAAUGCGCAGAUAUCAGGAGGAACACCGGUGGCGAAGGCGGGUCUCUGGGCAGUAACUGACGCUGAGGAACAAAAGCGUGGGUAGCGAACAGG
rnacentral:rRNA from 1 species